ACAUAGAUUUAUAAUACUCUAGAUUGCGCCUUACGAUCUUAAAAUGGGUGACGGUUGCGACAGAGAUAAAUGAGCCUAUUUGGUCGGUAGUCUCUUUCUAAUUCAAGGGGAGUAUUGACGACGUCACUAUCCUACUCGGUCGUCGAGUAUUUUAGAUGGUUUGACAGUUCGAGCGGAUGGCGACGAGAACUGGUCGUUUGUCUUCGGACGUGGAUAAUCCUGGUUCGAAUCCCAUACCAAUCUUUACUUUUUUUAUUUUUAAUUUAAUCAAUAUUGCGUUUAUUAGAUAUUAUUACAUCUCUAAAAUAAAUCUAUGCAAAGAAAUAUAUAACAAAUAAGAAAAACUGUGUAGGUACCUAUAGAUUUUUAAAAAUACAAAAGCCAAUGUUAUUUUUUUAAUAAGUUAAUGGUAGAAUAGUAUAAAGUAAUUAAAAAUAUUCGUAAAAAAUUACCAAUAAUUAAUAUCAACAUAUAAUGUACCAUCGAUUUAUUAAUUGAAUCGGUCAUUUCAAAAACAACACGAGUCACAUAUUCCUAAUUUUACAGAAGAGCAAAGAAAACUUAACUAUAUAGUCGAAAGAUGCAUGAAAUGGAUGACAUCAAAAUUCAGAGUUAUAUUGUAGUUUUGUUCCUAAUGUUUUUACUGGACUGGUGUCGUUUUUGCACACAACGUUUAUCUUAAAGGAGUCUAUUCCUCUCAAAAAGUUAGUUUCUGAAAAUUGUGGACUUUGCUGUUUUUGAAAUGACCGAUUCAAUUAUAAGUAAUUAGACAUUAUUUUUAUUUAUGAAACUAUUGUUACAAUUUUUUAAAAAAGUAGAAGCAAAACAAAUAUUAUUCACAUCAUUCGAAUAAGGACGAAUUUAUAUUAAUAACGAAUGACUUAUUUUACUAUGCAGUUCACAAAUAUGUAUUCCAAUAUUAACUUACUAUACAUAGGUACAUUUAUUAUCUGCUAGAUUUACUUAGGUCCAUUUUUCAGAUGUAAAAAUAUCUAAUAAACGCAAUAUUGAGUAAAUAAAAAUAAAAAAGGUAAAGUUGGUAUGGGAUUCGAACCACGAUUAUCCACGUCCGAAGACCAAAGACCAUUUCUCGUCUCCACCCGCUCCAACUGUCAACAAAUAUUACUCGAUAAAGUGGGAUAGUCACGUCGUCGAUAUUCCCCUUAAAUUAAAAAGAGACUACCGACCAAAUAGGCUCAUUUAUCUCUGUCGCAACCGUCACCCAUUUUAAGAUCGGAGGACGCAAUCUAGAGUAUUAUAUAUCUAUGGUUGUUUAUUUAGAGUUAUUUAUUAUUGUUUUCUCAUAUUUUGCAAUUGUUAAGUUGGUUUACUUCGAAUUUAAUGUGCAUUACUGUGGUAUUUCUCCAGUUUUCUAAGAAGGUUGGUGAUUUUGAAUUGGGAUUAUGAUGAAUUUAACCCAAAGGCAAUGUGUGUGUUUAUUUAUGUGGCAAAAUUCCAGGCAGCAUAAAAAUUUGAGUUUCUUCCUGUUGCCCAUGGAUGAAAAUCGGUUUGCAGAAUGAAAAGAAAUUGUUCAAUGUGAUAAACUUUCUAUGAACAGUCCUCAGUGUUGUUACAUUAACUUUUAAAUAUGCAUCUUGAGGAGCAGGCCUUUGCAGAAAUACUGAAAAGCGGGUUGCAAAACAACGCAAAAUAAAAUAAACGAAAUAUGUCUUGAGAUUAAACAUUCAAGUUGAAGGUGUGUUCUUUCUUAAACUGGAAUGAUAAUUUUGUAAUUCUGUAGGCACAUCUAUUGAGAAGUUACAACCAGUGGCAAAGUGCCUUAAGGGAAUCUAUGACAUAUAUAAUUGAAGGUAUGAGUAUAUGUUUCAAAUCGUUGGAUGAUUCUGAGAAAGUGUAAAUUUUUUUCAUGAAUUUGGUACAUAACCGUCUUUAUCUAAACUCUAAAAAUCAUUGACAUCUGUUUUGAAGAACCAUGUUCCUAGAAACCAUUGAUAACAAAUAUAGACGGUUACCUCUGCAUUCGUUGUAUCAUCUUACUACUCUAUCCAUAGUGAGUCUAAUUUUUAAAUCUAUAAUAAUUGUUUACGUGCUGGUUUCAUAAAGAUGCUUCAAAAAUCUAUAUGGGCCUUACUAGGCAGCACAGCCAUGCCUUUAAUAGUUUUUCCAAUUAUAUUUUCAAUAUGCUUAUUCUAGUUAAGAUUGCGGGACAAAAAGACCACUAAAUAUUUGAGUUCAUUUUUAGGUAUCAGCAUUGGCUCUACAGCCCAUGGUGGGUCUUGGCCUGUUCCAGAAUCAGCUUCCACUCUUUCCUAUCCUUUGCUUGGAUUUCCAAUUUCUCACUCGAGCAUGAAUUUUUGGUAUAUAUGGGAUUAUAUUGUGAUAACGACCAGAUCUAUGAAAGAAUAGUAUCUUGUUAAAGAAGAUUGUGGUGACACUAUUCAUGAAUAUCUGAUAAUAUUGGUUAAUGUGAAUGGAGUCCAAAAUGGGGUUUAGGCUGUUAUAUAAAAAACUAGGUCAUUAGCAUAUGGAAGUAGGGCGACAUUAUCUGGUAUUAAAUUAUGUGAAUGAGGAGAAUUAAACCUAAAAACUCUAUUUAUUCUGCUAAUCAAUAUGAAUUUAAUAUAUUUUAAUAUAAAACAUAUGUUAUUCUUUCUAGGGACACCUCCUCUGAAGGAAUUACAAUUAUUUGCCAGUAUGUCAAAUGAAUUUUCAACAUCAGUCAUACUUUCAUGAAUUUAUUGAUGAAAAUAAAA